rnacentral:lncRNA from 1 species
UUGAAAUGGGCCUGAAAAUCAGGGCGUGAGUCCUGGCGGACUUCUAUGCAUUCCAUAUAAGGGAAUGGCGACGCCCAAUGGGAGCUAGCCCUUCCUAGAGACGGUGGGUGCCUCCCCUCAGCGAGAGAUGCAAACCUCAAUCGUCAGCCCUCUUCUCUUGAUAACGAACCCUCGUCAUAUUAGUUAUCGAUCACUACCACCCCAACACACUACACAUAUCGAUCGUUACGAUCCCUAUCCCGUCGCGUACAUCCUUUGCUAGGUAACGUACUGUUCUUAGCUAUUGUAAUCUCGACGCUCUGGGUGUGGCUCCUAUGGCUUGCAUCUCUGGCCAUUAUGCUCCGCGAAUCAACGCGCGGCGCCUGAGGCGGUAUUUAAAGGCUCCGGCACGCCUGCGGCAUAUUGUCAUCAUGUCUACCACGUCUGUGGAGGUUGUCACGGAGGCAAGUCGGCCCGAGAGCCCGCCGGGGUCCGCGGCCGAGGUGCCCCGCGAAUUGUACAACGAGAUCGUCCGAUUAAAGGACGACCUCCACGCGGCUGAGGGAAAUUUGGAGGUCGCCCGCCGCGACAUGGAGCGGGCCCGCCGGAGAAAUAAAGAAAUUAUUCACCGGCUUCGGAAAAUAAUCUUCACCUUAAAUUCCCCAAACUACGCUCGGCCAGAAUGGCUCGAUGGGGAUAUCGAGUGGGCUCUUCUGGAGCUCUCUUGAGCCCAGCUCAGAUACACCGGCGAAGCUGAAGACUCCCGUGCCGAAGACUCCCGUGCCUUGCUUGUCAUGCUUGAAUUUGUCAUGGUUGACUUGUAAUACAUAUUAACGAAUUUCCCCACCUG